UGGGAGUGACAGUCAACUUGCAAUAUAGGUCGUGCUUGGUUGGCAAGCCUUUCUAGAAAGUAGAGGACGUCAUUCAGUCAUCUCUUGAUGUAGUCUUAGAUGGACUCAUCAGGCUUCUUGCACAGGUUAAACAGGCAGUCAACUUAUUUUUUAUUUACUGUCAUACAGGAGGUGCACUCUUUAGUGAAGACAAAGGUCAGCUCCUUGAAGCUG
rnacentral:lncRNA from 1 species